AACGAACGCUGGCGGCAUGCCUAACACAUGCAAGUCGAACGAGACCUUCGGGUCUAGUGGCGCACGGGUGCGUAACGCGUGGGAACCUGCCCUUAGGUUCGGAAUAACUCCCCGAAAGGGGGGCAAAUACCGGAUAAUGUCUUCGGACCAAAGAUUUAUCGCCUUUGGAUGGGCCCGCGUUGGAUUAGCUAGUUGGUAGGGUAAAAGCCUACCAAGGCGACGAUCCAUAGCUGGUCUGAGAGGAUGAUCAGCCACACUGGGACUGAGACACGGCCCAGACUCCUACGGGAGGCAGCAGUGGGGAAUAUUGGACAAUGGGCGAAAGCCUGAUCCAGCAAUGCCGCGUGAGUGAUGAAGGCCUUAGGGUUGUAAAGCUCUUUUACCCGGGAUGAUAAUGACAGUACCGGGAGAAUAAGCUCCGGCUAACUCCGUG
rnacentral:rRNA from 1 species